GUGGGGAAUCUUCCGCAAUGGACGAAAGUCUGACGGAGCGACGCCGCGUGAGUGAAGAAGGCCUUCGGGUCGUAAAGCUCUGUCAUCAGGGACGAACGGCCGGUGGAGUGGAAAGCCACCGGAUUGACGGUACCUGAGAAGGAAGCCACGGCUAACUACGUGCCAGCAGCCGCGGUAAUACGUAGGUGGCAAGCGUUGUCCGGAAUUAUUGGGCGUAAAGCGCGCGCAGGUGGGAUCUUAAGUCCAUUUUUAAAGUUCGGAGCUCAACUCCGUGAUGGGAUGGAAACUGGGAUUCUUGAGUACCGGAGAGGAAAGCGGAAUUCCCCGUGUAGCGGUGAAAUGCGUAGAUAUGGGGAGGAACACCAGUGGCGAAGGCGGCUUCCUGGCACAAUACUGACGCUCAUGUGCGAAAGCUAGGGCAGCGAACGGGAUUAGAAACCCCGGUAGUCC
rnacentral:rRNA from 1 species